rnacentral:lncRNA from 1 species
UCAAUGUAUCCCCGACAAGUCAUCUUUUAUUAACCGUUUAUCGGUAAUGAUCGGUCAUCAUUUUAUACCUAGUUUUUGGUAUUCCUGAUGUCCUUUCUUUUCAGUCGAUUUAUCCUUUAUUAACCUAGUAACCGGUUGUGGAUAAAUCUUCCGUGCGAGUAUGUUAUCUACGUUCUGACGGUAAUAGAUAAUAUAUCUCAUGCACUCUUCGGUCAAAGUCUU